GGGGAAGUAGCUCAGUUGGUUAGAGCAAUAGAUUAGAGUUCGUGGGUUCGAAUCCCACUCCUGA
rnacentral:tRNA from 1 species